UUUCCGUAGGUGAACCUGCGGAAGGAUCAUUAGUGAACGCCCACACGGGCUUAUAACUGUUCCAUACCUCUCUGAACCGUGCCCUUCGAUGCUAUUUUACAAACAUGGCGUAAUGAACUUCAUAUAUCUUAACAAAACAAAACUUUCAACAACGGAUCUCUUGGCUCUCACCUCUAUGAAGAACGCAGC
rnacentral:misc_RNA from 1 species